CCUGUGAGCUGGGCGAUCGCUGUUGUGAAGGUCUUCGGACUAAAGCAAGGGAGGAAAGUCCGGGCUUCAUAGGGCAAGGUGCUAGGUAACGCCUAGGCGGCGUAAGCCGACGGAAAGUGCAGCAGAGAGUAGACCGCCGAUGUACGCAAGUGCAGGUAAGGGUGAAAGGGUGUGGUAAGAGCACACCGCAUGACUGGCAACAGGACAUGGCAUGGUAAACCCCACUAGAAGCAAGACCAAAUAGAAAUCCGAUGGUGUGACCCGCACUGGAUUUGGGUAGGUUGCUGGAGCGUAUGAGUGAUUGUACGCCUAGAUGAAUGAUCGUCCUAGACAGAACCCGGCUUAUAGGCUCACAUAUUUU
rnacentral:RNase_P_RNA from 1 species